CGGAGAGUAGUUAAACUUAGAAUUCUGGCUUUGGGAGUCAGUGGUAGAGGUUAGAAUCCUCUCUUUCCGA
rnacentral:tRNA from 1 species